rnacentral:rRNA from 1 species
CGGACGGGUGGGUAAUGCCUGGGAAACGUGCCUGAUGGAGGGGGGUAACUACUGGAAACGGUAGCUAAUACCGCAUAACGUCGCAAGACCAAAGAGGGGGACCGUUAGGGCCUCUUGCCAUCGGAUGUGCCCAGAUGGGAUUAGCUAGUAGGUGGGGUAACGGCUCACCUAGGCGACGAUCCCUAGCUGGUCUGAGAGGAUGACCAGCCACACUGGAACUGAGACACGGUCCAG